GGGAGAUACAAAAGAGGUGGCUAAUCAUGACAGUCCUGUUAGGGGAGAUACAGAAGAGGUGGCUAAUCAUGGAAGUCCUGUCAAGGGAGAUGUAGAAGAGGUGGCUUAUGAAGGGGAAGAUGAGCAUGAUGAAAGCUUGUCAAUGAAAAGGGAUAACUCUGAUUUCGAUCUUCAAGCACGCGGUCGUAGCUCAGGGGGAGAAUAUGAUCAAUCAUUCAAUGAAGGGAUUCGUCGUAAUUGUUCAUUUGGAAGUGAAAUGAAUGAACAGGAUCAUAACAAAUCUGAGAAAGAUGCAGAGGUUGUGAAAAGUGGACACAUCAGUGAUCCGGGGUUUGGUAAAGUAGAAUCUUGGGCUUCUCCGAAGCUGCAACGCUCUUGCUCCGAUUUAGCAAUGAGGGAUAUGGUGAAUAAAUUGAGUGAGCAGCUAUCACUCUCAAAGACCAAAUCUUUUGAUGAAAUGCGGAGACUAGCUGAGAAGAUGACUUUAGGAAGUCCAGCUUCUGUGUUAACGCAUCGCAGUGCUGACAAAGUUAUGUUGAAGAAACAUUCUUCAAGCCAACUCCUACCAUCCAGAAAUAGAAAAUUGUGGUGGAAACUGUUCCUAUGGAGCCAUAGGAACGUGCAAGGAACAGGUGGUAUCCAACAACUACCAAUCCUUGCUAAGACUGCUCUAAACCAGCAGGGUGGGUACUCCUCGGACACACUAGAACUAGGGAAAGCCAUGGACUCGAGCAACUUGGGAUCUCCUGGUUCGUUCAUUGCAGAAUCCUUGAACAAAGGGCGGAAUGACAAGGGCAAGGAGGUUUUGGAUGGAUUCGGAGGAGUAAGCGGAUUUUGGCCACAGAACCAGUGGGUUGCUUUCCCUGAAGAAUCCUCUAGGUUUAUGAGAAUCAAUGAAUGGGUGAAUGAACUUCCCAGUCAUCCACCAUGCUUAAUUGAUGAACAUGAUCAUGUUGAAGAUGAGGUUGAUAUCUCGCCUUCGCCCGAUGCUGGUAAAUCACCUCUCAUUAGCCCAUACCCAAAUAUGAAUGUCCCAGAAGAGGUUGCACAUGCAAAUACAGUCAUCCGAUCUCUUAAUUCUUCCUCAACGGUUGCUCACAUCGCGAGCGCUGGUCUGAAAGUUAUCCCUGCUAUAUCACACUUAUGUAGCCUUCGAUCUGUCAAUCUAUCAGGCAACUUUAUAGUUCAAAUAACUCUGGGAUCACUACCAAAGGGUCUUCAUGUUCUCAAUUUAUCAAGGAACAAGAUCCACACAAUUGAAGGACUGAGGGAAUUGACACGUCUGCGCUUGCUUGACCUAAGUUACAACAGAAUCUCUCGAAUUGGACAAGGUUUGUCGAAUUGUACUCUCAUCAAAGAGCUCUACCUCGCUGGUAACAAAAUAAGUGAUAUUGAAGGGCUGCACAGACUUCUAAAGCUGACUGUUCUAGACUUGAGUUUCAACAAGAUAACAACUACUAAAGCGCUUGGUCAGCUUGUGGCAAACUACAAUUCUCUUCUGGCUCUAAAUCUAUUGGGAAAUCCAAUUCAGAUCAAUAUAAGUGAUGACCAACUGCGAAAGGCAGCUUGCAGCCUGCUCCCAAAACUUGCCUACCUGAACAAGCAGCCAAUUAAUUCCCAAAAGGCACGGGAUGUAGGAACAGAAGCUGUUGCAAAAGCAGCACUGGGCAGUAGCACUCGGGGCACUCAUAGAAGAGCAACCAGGAAGGUAAGCACUGGAUCUUCUUCAUCUGCAAGCGUGCAUAGGAGCAGCGCAGGUGUUUCUCAAAAGAGCAGGCAUAGGCUAAGAAGCCGAACUCAACUUUAGUCUUCCAAGGCCUUGAUCUAUCUGCUAGGGAGUGGUUUAGGCGUUCAUGUUAAAAGUUGUGGAGGUUCUUCCUCAUUCUGUAAAAUCUGUUUGAGAGCAAGGUAGUUAUGGCUUUCUAUGAUUGUUCAAAUUUGGCAUGUUUAUUGAUUUGGACCUUAAUAAAUGAAUUCCU
rnacentral:misc_RNA from 1 species